CCUACGGGAGGCAGCAGUGAGGAAUAUUGCACAAUGGGCGCAAGCCUGAUGCAGCGACGCCGCGUGGGUGAAGAAGGUUUUCGGAUCGUAAAGCCCUUUUCUUGGUGACGAGGAAGGACGGUAGCCAAGGAAUAAGUGUCGGCUAACUACGUGCCAGCAGCCGCGGUAAAACGUAGGACGCAAGCGUUAUCCGGAAUUACUGGGCGUAAAGCGCGCGCAGGCGGGUCAACAAGUCAUGCGUGAAAGCUCCUGGCUAAACUGGGAGAGGUCGGAUGAAACUGUUGGUCUUGAGUGUGGCAGAGGCGUGUGGAAUUCCGCGUGUAGUGGUGAAAUGCGUAGAGAUGCGGAGGAACACCAGAGGCGAAGGCGGCACGCUGGGCCACAACUGACGCUGAGGCGCGAAAGCAUGGGUAGCGAACGGGAUUAGAUACCCUUGUAG
rnacentral:rRNA from 1 species